rnacentral:rRNA from 1 species
GACGAACGCUGGCGGCGUGCCUAAUACAUGCAAGUCGAGCGGGGAUUAUGCUUGAUCGCUUCGGUGAGACGGCAUAUAUCCUAGCGGCGGACGGGUGAGUAACGCGUGGGUAAUCUACCUCGUAGUUCGGGAUAACAGGCCGAAAGGCUUGCUAAUACCGGAUGAGUUCAUGCUUAUGCAUAUAGGCAUGAAGAAAGGGCUAGCCCGCUAUGAGAUGAGCCCGCGUCCCAUUAGCUUGUUGGUGGGGUAAUGGCCUACCAAGGCAACGAUGGGUAGCCGGCCUGAGAGGGUGUACGGCCACACUGGGACUGAGACACGGCCCAGACUCCUACGGGGGGCAGCAGUAGGGAAUUUUCGGCAAUGGGCGAAAGCCUGACCGAGCGACGCCGCGUGAGGGACGAAGGCCUUCGGGUUGUAAACCUCUGCCUGGGGGAGUGAGAACGGACGGUACCCCGGACGGAAGCCCCGGCUAACGUACGUGCCAGCCAGCCGCGGUAAAAGUACUCUAU